rnacentral:rRNA from 1 species
CCUACGGGAGGCAGCAGUAGGGAAUAUUGCUCAAUGGGGGAAACCCUGAAGCAGCAACGCCGCGUGGAGGAUGAAGGUUUUCGGAUUGUUAACUCCUUUUGUUAGAGAAGAUAAUGACGGUAUCUAACGAAUAAGCACCGUCUAACUCCGUGCCAGCAGCCGCGGUAAUACGGAGGGUGCAAGCGUUACUCGGAAUCACUGGGCGUAAAGAGCGCGUAGGCGGGAUAGCAAGUCAGAUGUGAAAUCCUAUGGCUUAACCAUAGAACUGCAUUGGAAACUGUUAUUCUAGAGUAUGGGAGAGGUAGGUGGAAUUCUUGGUGUAGGGGUAAAAUCCGUAGAGAUCAAGAAGAAUACUCAUUGCGAAGGCGACCUGCUAGAACAUAACUGACGCUGAUGCGCGAAAGCGUGGGGAGCAAACAGGAUUAGAUACCCGAGUAGUC